GCUAGGUGACAUUCUACAAGAUCUGAACACUGAGAAACCUCAAAUAACUCUUCCACCUAUAAUAAUACCUAAGAAGAAAAGAUCUACUGGAUCUUCUCUGAAUCCUUUUGCUGUGUACACCCCCAAGGUAAAGUGUAUAGAGAUACCCUGUCUUGAUUUAUGAUAUUGUUUUAAAUUU
rnacentral:lncRNA from 1 species